rnacentral:piRNA from 1 species
UCCAACUGAAAGAGUACGAAUGAUC